rnacentral:lncRNA from 1 species
GUGAGUGCGGGGCGCGGCGGGUCGGGGCGGGUGGGAAGGGCCGGUGCUGCCACCUGCCGCACGGCCCCGGCGGGCGGGUAGGGGGGAAGGGGAGGCUGCGGGGAACGCGGCCCGGCCGCAUCUCUGUCCCCCUCGCAGGCGGCGGCUCGGGAGGAAGCCCAGAGCGGGACGGGCGGGCGACGGCUCGGCCGCACGGCGGGGCAGGAAGGCUUUCGGGAGGCUGAAGCACCACCACCGCCGCGAUUACCACCUCUCGGCCCUCUCCAGCUCGGUGUUCCCGGGGGCGUUCGCGGGCUGCAAUAACGCGGCCUUCCAAAGGUGCCAGCAAGGGCUGCGGGCUGGAUGGUGGAUGGUGGCGGGGAGCCAGCAGCUCUAACAGCUUCCACAGAUCCCCUUCAGAAGAGCAUGCCACCUGCAGCAGACACUCAGUAGAAGCCACACCACAAGAAGGAAAAGCCUUUCAUUCCCACAUAACAAGCAAAGCUGCAGAAAGCACGGGACAAACAAGACCAUCACUGCAGGCUGCAGCGAUGCACAUUUUAGAUAUCUUUUGCUGACUGUAAUAACCCAUGCCCAGAAAGAUGCCGAUUUGGAAAUGCCAUAACACAAAGUUAGCAUUUGCAAUAAAAAUAUGACAGAGUACUUUUUCCUCACUGAGAAAAAUGUCCACUUGAAGCAAGCAUUUUUAUAUGACUAUGAUAUAUUAAAA